GCCGAGUUUGCCUACGCCUGCUGUAGAGCAUGAGACUCUUCAUCUCAGAGUCAUGGGUUCAAGCCCCAUGUUGGGCU